rnacentral:rRNA from 1 species
UACGUAGGUGGCAAGCGUUGUUCGGAAUUAUUGGGCGUAAAGGGCGCGUAGGCGGUUUGUUAAGUCGGUCGUGAAAGCCCGGGGCUCAACCCCGGAGGGUCGACCGAUACUGGCAGACUAGAGUACAGAAGGGGCAACUGGAAUUCUCGGUGUAGCGGUGAAAUGCGUAGAUAUCGAGAGGAACACCUGCGGCGAAGGCGGGUUGCUGGGCUGAUACUGACGCUGAGACGCGAAAGCCAGGGGAGCGAACGGG